UACAGAGGUCCCAAGCGUUGUUCGGAUUCAUUGGGCGUAAAGGGUGCGUAGGCGGCGCGGUAAGUCGGGUGUGAAAUCUCGGGGCUUAACUCCGAAACUGCAUUCGAUACUGCCGUGCUUGAGGACUGGAGAGGAGAGUGGAAUUCCCGGUGUAGCGGUGAAAUGCGCAGAUAUCGGGAAGAACACCCGUGGCGAAGGCGGCUACUCUGGGACGGUACUGACGGCUGAGACGGCGAAAGCGUGGGGAGCGAACAGG
rnacentral:rRNA from 1 species